GGAGUAUGGGCCGUGUCUCAGUCCCAUUGUGGCUGAUCAUCCUCUCAAACCAGCUACUGAUCGUCGCCUUGGUGGUCCAUUACACCCCCAACUAGCUAAUCAGAUGCAGACUCAUCCCAGAGCACCGGAGUUUUCACGAAUACCAUUUCAGAUACGCGCAUAUGCGGUAUUAGCAGAAGUUUCCCUCUGUUGUCCCACUCUCUAGGGCAGAUUCUCUACAUAUUACUCACCCGUCCGCCACUUUCCUCUCUGGCAAGCCAGAGAUUCUCGUUCGACUUGCAUGUAUGAAGCACGCCGCCAGCGUCGUCCUCGAGCCAUGAUCAAACUACU
rnacentral:rRNA from 1 species